UUGGUUUAAAUCAUUAUGGAUUUACACGUUAAAAAUUGAACAUACAUAAAGUGGUGGGAUAUACAUUGAUUUUAUCCAA
rnacentral:pre_miRNA from 1 species